CUCGUAGGCGGCCAACUAAGUCAGACGUGAAAUCCCUCGGCUUAACCGGGGAACUGCGUCUGAUACUGGAUGGCUCGAGGUUGGGAGAGGGAUGCGGAAUUCCAGGUGUAGCGGUGAAAUGCGUAGAUAUCUGGAGGAACACCGGUGGCGAAGGCGGCAUCCUGGACCAACACUGACGCUGAGGAGCGAAAGCCAGGGAGCAAACG
rnacentral:rRNA from 1 species